CAUGCAAUGAAGAACCAUGGGAGGACUAGACCUGUUAAAUUUAAUGGGGCCCUCUAGAAAGAAGCCAACCACCAUGGCCGCGCCUUACAAAGACAACUUCAUGAGAAAAAAUCAUAGAUUUGAAAGGGAGAAGGAGGGCUUAAAGCACGUGACGGAACCAAAGGAGCAGAGCAAAGCCAAAAGAAGGAAAAGGUCUAGAUUUCAGUCUUCUUCGUUGCCGACGAAUAUUUGUACUUGCUUGUCACCCACAUCUCCUCUUCCCACCCUGAUUUCUGGAAGCUGCACUUAAAGUCUCUUCUUUCAAUACAGUAGAAACAGCUACAAAUAAGGCCUCCAGAGGAGGAAGAACACCAUUAAUCUCGACGUCGCCCAUGGAAGAAACCAGGCUGCUCCUCUUCUUCCUGGUCUCUGCUUCUGUCCUUGUCCAUGGGGCUUCAAGUAAAGCGCCAAAGAUGAUCACAGCUACAAAUAAGGCCUCCAGAGGAGGAUGAACACCAUUAAUGUCGACGUCGCCCAUGGAAGAAACCAGGCUGCUCCUCUUCUUCCUGGUCUCUGCUUCUGUCCUUCUGCAUGGGGCUUCAGG